UUCUAAGCACACACACAAACAUAAUUCUAUCCGGUUGCCUAAAAUUGACCUUCCUAAGUUUUCCGGCAACUAUCAUGAUUGGUUAGAGUUUAGAGACACUUUCAUUUCUAUAAUACACGAUAACGACAGCAUAGAUAACAUAAAUAAAUUACAUUAUCUUCGUGCCUCCUUAAAGGGUAGUGCUUCCUUAAUUAUUGACAAUCUUGACUUUAGAUCUGAUAACUACGACGCUGCCUGGAAGUUGCUCUGUGAUAGGUAUGAUAAUAAGAGGUUGUUAGUUAACAACCACGUUCAAUUACUUUUUAAUGUGCAGUCCAUAAGCAAGGAAUCAAGUAAGUCAUUAAGAGAUAUUGUUGACACCACAAAUAAAAAUUUAAGAGCAUUAUCUACACUGGGUCAACCUGUUGAGUACUGGGACACACUGAUCAUUUAUAUAAUGACAUGUAAACUUGACCAGGUGACAAACCGAGAGUGGGAGGAGCACAGGAACUCAUUGUCAGAACCUCCAACAUUGGCUGUAUUUAUUGAAUUCAUUCGUAACAGGGCUGAUUUAUUAGAAACGCUCGAGGAAUCCAAGUCAUUGUUUACUAAAGGCGAAGGUGUACAUGUCAACAAUAUUAAACAAUAUAAACAUUCUUCGGGUUCAAGUGAAACGUCUCGCAAUCCUUUAUCAUGUCCAAUGUGUCAAAAAGAUCACUUCAUUUUUCAAUGCGAUAAAUUCAAAAGCUUGCCUGUACAAUCACGCAUCAGUAAAGCUCAAACUUCCAAUGUAUGCUUAAAUUGUCUUCGACCAGGUCAUAAUAUUUAUAAAUGUAAGAUGGGUCACUGCAAGUAUUGCCGUGAGAAGCACAAUACAUUGUUGCACUUUGAUCGCGAUAUCGUUGUUCCUAAUCAAACAACUAGUACCUUAGCUUCUGUCAAUCACCUUUCUACAUCUCGAGUUGUCUUGCUCUCCACAGCGCUGGUGAAUGUGUCGGAUGCUGAAGGCAACGCUCACACCGCGCGAAUCCUGCUGGAUAACGGGAGUACGACUAACCUUAUAUCACAGGAGUUGGCUCGUAAACUUAAUAUUUCCACCUAUACAGUCGAGUCUAAGGAAUCGAGUUCUACCACCAAGCUCAGAGUCGUCUUCGAUGCAUCAGCGACCACAUCAUCAGGCAAAUCCUUUAACCAAAUUCAGAUGGAUACCUCGGUGGAUCACGUGUGAACUAUCAUCGUCUGUGCAGUUGCAUGUGUUCACCGACGCGUCUGAAAGGGCGUAUGGUGCUUGUUUGUAUGUCCGCAGCGUAUCGCUUAGUGGUGAGGUUCACGUACACCUUCUUACUGCUAAAAGCAAGGUAGCGCCGGUCAAAUCAACGACCAUCCCCCGACUCGAACUCUGUGCUGCGUUGUUGGGUUCGAGAUUAUACAUGAAGGACGGAUCGUUAAGGUGCUUCCUGGUAGAGACGGCAUUGCACGAGUCGCCGACAUCCGCACACGUAAGGGUGUCAUUCGGCGAGCGUUUAACACAAUUUGCCCGUUACCCGUCGCCACUGCUGUUGAAGACACUUCAACGGGGGGAGUAUGUUGAGUCGUCCCACUCGCCUCAACCGCGUCCACGACAAGUGGGGGCGACUGUGACGUCGUGGUGCAACGGCUCGCCGCGAAUCGCCGGGUCCAGAGGUCAAGACUUGCUUAUGCGCACCGGCCGCGCGCACGCGUUCUUACUUAAACCUUCAUUCAUAUUUGCUUAAUUGUACCUAUAUUGUUAUUCUUAAAAGUCAUUAUACGUCUUUACAUGUUAUACA
rnacentral:misc_RNA from 1 species